rnacentral:rRNA from 1 species
GCAUAUCAAUAAGCGGAGGAAAAGAAACCAACAGGGAUUGCCCCAGUAACGGCGAGUGAAGCGGCAACAGCUCAAAUUUGAAAUCUGGCUCUCGGGCCCGAGUUGUAAUUUGUAGAGGAUGCUUCGGGAGCGGUCCCCAUCUAAGUGCCCUGGAACGGGACGUCAUAGAGGGUGAGAAUCCCGUAUGGGAUGGGGUGUCCGCGCCCGUGUGGAGCUCCUUCGACGAGUCGAGUUGUUUGGGAAUGCAGCUCUAAAUGGGUGGUAAAUUUCAUCUAAAGCUAAAUAUUGGCCGGAGACCGAUAGCGCACAAGUAGAGUGAUCGAAAGAUGAAAAGCACUUUGAAAAGAGAGUUAAAAAGCACGUGAAAUUGUUGAAAGGGAAGCGCUUGCGACCAGACUCGCUCGCGGGGUUCAGCCGGCAUUCGUGCCGGUGUACUUCCCCGCGGGCGGGCCAGCGUCGGUUUGGGCGGUCGGUCAAAGGCCCUCGGAAGGUAACGCCCCUAGGGGCGUCUUAUAGCCGAGGGUGCAAUGCGACCUGCCUAGACCGAGGAACGCGCUUCGGCUCGGACGCUGGCAUAAUGGUCGUAAACGACCCGUCUUGAAACACGGACC